UACGUAGGGGGCAAGCGUUGUCCGGAUUCAUUGGGCGUAAAGGGCGCGUAGGCGGCCUGCUAAGUCGAACGUGAAAUCCCCGAGCUCAACUCGGGAACUGCGUCCGAUACUGGCAGGCUUGAAUCCGGGAGAGGGAUGCGGAAUUCCAGGUGUAGCGGUGAAAUGCGUAGAUAUCUGGAGGAACACCGGUGGCGAAGGCGGCAUCCUGGACCGGCAUUGACGCUGAGGCGCGAAAGCCAGGGGAGCAAACGGG
rnacentral:rRNA from 1 species